UACAGAGGUCCCAAGCGUUGUUCGGAUUCACUGGGCGUAAAGGGUGCGUAGGUGGCGAGGUAAGUCGGAUGUGAAAGCUCGGAGCUCAACUCCGAAAUGGCAUUGGAAACUACCUUGCUCGAGGGUUGGAGGGGGGACUGGAAUGCUUGGUGUAGCAGUGAAAUGCGUAGAUAUCAAGCGGAACAUCAGUGGCGAAGGCGGUUCUCUGGGCCUUACCUGACGCUGAGGAGCGAAAGCGUGGGGAGCGAACAGG
rnacentral:rRNA from 1 species